UGGCGACCAUAGCAAGAGUGAACCACCUGAUCCCUUCCCGAACUCAGAAGUGAAACCUCUUAGCGCUGAUGGUAGUGUGGGAUUACCCAUG
rnacentral:rRNA from 1 species